UAAUAUAGUAAUAAUUUGGAAAAGAAAUACUGUUUUGAAAAUGAAGUGGGACGUCAUAGCACGCGUGCUUGGCGAUUCUAAAAGUACAGCCCAGAUAUCAAAUCACUAAGUCUGUGAAUGGCAACGUUAUCGUUGCAGUAUGCGGUGUUGAGAUUAGUUUGCUUGUACAAAAUGUGGUGGCGAGAUUGGUUGCUGGUGUUGUGUCUAAUGGCGAGACUGGUUGUUGGUGCGGCGACGAGAUUGUUGCUAGUGUGUGGUAGUGAGACUACUGGUCGUUGAUAAUUGGUACAGUGGUGAGACUGAAAAUUUGAAAAAGAGACAGUGGUCGAUUCACUACAUUCUAUACUUUUAAAAAAAAUAAUUAAAUGAACAGCGGGUGAGAUCACUGAAGUAUUGUGAGAUUACUGGAGUCAAGCUAGUGGAUGGAAGCUUUCAGCGGUGUUUCUUAUUGCAUCGACGGUAAAGCAAGCCAUAAGAGAGAGAAAGGUAAACGGUAAAAAGAACAGAUCAGAUUUUGUGAGUUUUAUUUUGAUGAAAAUAAAGGAAUAAUAAUUUUUUUUUGUUAUAGGUAUAUAAAAAGUAAAGGAAAGAUUUUGAUGAAGAUAAGUAGUUAGGAUUUGAAAAAUUAAAAGAGGAGAAGAUUUAAGAGAAGGUUAAGGUGACAAGAGGAGG
rnacentral:lncRNA from 1 species